UCCAUGAGGCCAAGAACCCCAGGUCAGAGAACAAAAGGCUUGCGGCCAUCUUGGGAGCAGCCCGCCACCAUCUUGCUGCCAUCUUGGGAGUGGCUCGCCACCAUCUUGGGAGCGGCCCACCACCAUCUUGGGAGCGCCUGCCACCAUCUUGGGAGCUCUAAGAACAAAGACCCGCUGGUAACAGAGGCAGGGGUGUUGACGGGAGAGCAGAACCCCUCCCACCUCUGUUCUCCAAGGCAAAACCAUCAACCCUCAGAGAAGAUACAGGAUUUCACCAUGUUGACCAGGCUGGUCUCGAACUUCUGAGCUCAAGCAAUCCUCCUGCCUCAGCCUCCCAAAGAGCUAGGAUUACAGGCGUGAGCCACCACGCCUGGCCUGGGAAAAUGAAGAUACCAAAGUUCAGAGAUGUUUAGGAAUUUUCCAAGAUCUCACAGCUCAGAAGUGACAGAGCCAGACUUUAAACCCAGGCAAACUGCUUCCGGGUCCCUGCUCUUCCUGCUCCGGUACUCCCAUGAACAGUGCUCCUUAUCUCAUUAUGUGCUGGCUUAGAAAUUCCAGGGGCUAAUUUUGAAACAAACCAGGCUUGCAGAUCCAGCUAUGAAAUCAGUUUGCUUAGUGGGCUUACAAACAAGGAGACCACCACCAAUAGGCGGAAGUCAAGAUGAUGCCAACUGGACCUCCAGGUGCUUGACUACUCAAGAAAGCCUUUGGAACAAGACCUGCCGACCUGCACCCUCCUGCACCCCUCCCACCUGUUUCCCGUACCAUGUCUCCCUUCUGAAACCAUCUCACUCAGCCCAGAAAGUUGGACUGGUCUUUUAAAAGCAUGAGUCUGGCCAUUCCCCAAUUGCUAGCUUCCAAUUAAUAAAACUGUUUUCCU